rnacentral:rRNA from 1 species
GGUUAAGUCCCGUAACGAGCGCAACCCUUAUCCUUAGUUGCCAGCGGGUCAUGCCGGGAACUCUAGGGAGACUGCCGGUGAUAAACCGGAGGAAGGUGGGGACGACGUCAAGUCAUCAUGGCCCUUAUGGGUAGGGCUACACACGUGCUACAAUGGUCGGUACAGAGGGUUGCGAGCUCGCGAGAGUCAGCCAAUCCCAAAAAGCCGAUCCUAGUCCGGAUUGCAGUCUGCAACUCGACUGCAUGAAGUCGGAAUCGCUAGUAAUCGCGGAUCAGAAUGCCGCGGUGAAUACGUUCCCGGGCCUUGUACACACCGCCCGUCACACCAUGGGAGUGGGUUGCAAAAGAAGUAGGUAGUUUAACCUUCGGGAGGGCGCUUACCACUUUGUGAUUCAUGACUGGGGUGAAGUCGUAACAAGGUAGCCGUAGAA